rnacentral:rRNA from 1 species
GACGAACGCUGGCGGCGUGCUUAACACAUGCAAGUCGAACGAUGAACCCGGAGCUUGCUCCGGUGGAUUAGUGGCGAACGGGUGAGUAACACGUGAGUAACCUGCCCUUGACUCUGGGAUAACUGCGGGAAACUGUAGCUAAUACCGGAUACGACCCUCGGCGGCAUCGCCAGGGGGUGGAAAGAAUUUCGGUCAAGGAUGGACUCGCGGCCUAUCAGCUAGUUGGUGAGGUAACGGCUCACCAAGGCGACGACGGGUAGCCGGCCUGAGAGGGUGACCAGCCACACUGCGAGUGAGACACGCCGCAGAAUCCUACGGGAGGCAGCAGUGGGGAAUAUUGCACAAUGAGCGCAGGCCUGAUGCAGCAACGCCGCGUGAGGGUUGACGGCCUUCGGGUUGUAAACCUCUUUUAGUAGGGAAGAAGCGAAAGUGACGGUAUUUAACCAGAAAGCCACGGCUAACUACGUGCCAGCCGCCGCAGUAA